rnacentral:lncRNA from 1 species
AGUCAGAAGAUAAUGGUAAAAAGUUGAUAUCAGAGUGCGCAACAAGUAAUGGUGGAGAAUACAGUCAGCAGGUUGGUCUUUAGGCCAACAACCAUUUAGGAAGAAGAAAGUUUUAUUCCAAGGAAUUGGAUGUGGAAGACGGUAAGAUAAUUAAAAGAACGUAUGACGAGUAAGUUACACAUAUGUUCAUGUUUGAACUUGGGAUUGUUAGUAAUGGAGUACCCUUGAGAACAAAGAUUGUGAAGGGAGAACGAUUCAACUCAUAAGGAUAAUGCGGUGAACUAGUAAGAACAAGUGGGCUCCGGUAUUAAUUUGAAGAGUAAGGAAAAAGGAAAUGUUGCGUUGCGAACGGUUAUACCGAGGAAAAUAACAAAAAGUGCUAAUAUAAGAUGAGCGUGCACCUAUAAGUCGUAUUAUGGGCUGAGAUCAUGAGUUCGAUGUAUGAAAUGAACAAGCAGGAUUUUCAAAAGUAACCUAAACAAAUGCUAUUGCAGCGAAGUAUGGGGUUAAUAACCUUGAACGCCGAAUCAUGAUCUGUUAAGAAACAAAGUCUAGACAAUUUGCUUUGGUGAUGAAUGAAGAAGUUCUUGAAUUUCGCGGACGAAAUUCUUUUAAGGGGGAUAGAUUGUAACAUCCCAACUUUAAUUAAUAGAGAAAUAUUAAUUAGAGUUGAUUAUU